rnacentral:lncRNA from 1 species
CUUUGAGCUAUCUUUCUAACUAUAUAUUUUGGAGCCCAAAUGGCGUUUUGAGAAAAAUGGUAUGUCCAUUUUACAACACAAUGCACAAUAUACCUCAUCGAGUCUUCAUUUGUUCUCAACUAUCAAAUUUGUUCCCCGAACACGAUCCUAAAUUAAUUCCUUGAGCAUUUUCUCAGACAUAAAAGCUUCAAAUCACUUAAUUUCAUUCCAUCUGUAUAGCUCGGAAUCAUACCUACACGGCAUAAAGCACACAAUUAGUGGAAAACAAUAGUGAUAAAAGCACAAACUCAACUAAAGUGCAGUAAAUUAGAGUGUAAUAAUCUACUAAAAUACAUAAUUAUAGCCUAUCAUCACUUCCGUGACGUCGGGAUCUCUAAUGGCAUCCGUUGCUCGAUUGACCUUACUCCCCGACAUGGCUGAUUGCUAUGCCUCUGGGCUCGCCCCUUUUAGUUGUUUGGUAUGGGCGCAGUCUUGGGCUAUUUUGUAGCAUUCGUGUGCGGUGCACGAUUUGCCUUGAAUGCUAAAUACUCCCCACAGGGUAGGAAAUUUGAUCACUUGGUAAAAUCUUGAGGGGAUCGCUCGCAUGGCAUGCAUCCAUGGGCGCCCUAUGAUGGCGUUGUACGUCGUGUCCUGGUUCAUCAUGUGGAAAGUUGUUUCCAGCGUGACUUCCUCCUACUAAAAUUAGCAGUGGCAUUUCUCUGAAUGUCCGUUCCACUACAGUGUUAAAACAGAUAGUGUUAUGCAGCGCGGUAUUAUCUUAUCCUCGAGUCCCAUUUGUACGAGGACCCUCGGCUGGAUAAUACAGGUGCCACUUCCGUCAUCAACCAUAAUUAUUUUAACAUUCGUAUCGGUGAUACAUAAAGUGAUAACUAAACCAUCGUAAUGAGGGAAAGACAAAUCAUCGGCAUCGGACUUAUCGAAGGUGAUACUAUCUUCGAAGUCGUCAUACCGUUCAUGGGCGAUGGUCCGCUUUAGCUUGUGCAUGGUGGUGAACUUGACGUGAUUGAUCGCCAAGUCCCGCGUUCGACGAUCAUAUUUAUCAUGCGUGCUUUGGAAGGCGACUUCGGCGGCCCAUGGGGUUGUUCCCGUCCGCAUGCAAAGUUUGUUUUCCCUUUGUCACUGAGUGAUUCCCUGAAGUAUUCCUGGUUCAGCAUUCGGACUACCUCUUGCUGUAGGCCUAUGCAGUAUUCGAUCUUGUGCCCCCGUUCCUGAUGGAACUCAAAUAGGACAUUUGAUUUCCUUGUGGUAGGUCUGAUUUCAUCUUCUGUGGCCACUGCACUUUGGUGCCCGGCUUCUCCAGUGCGUACACUAUUUCUAAAAGAGACACACAAAGUUAUGGGCGGAUAAUAAAGGAGGCGUACCUCUUUCGUUUCGAAGUGGGCCGACAUGUCAUUGUAGAGCGUCUGUAUGCCUGGUGGAGGUGGAUGGGCGUAUAUGAUGUAAGGAUGGUGUCGAUCUUUAUUGAAGCGUGGCAGUUGUUCUCGCCGACCCUCAUUGCAUCAAUCCCUCCUUAAUUUUGAGUGUAUUGUCGUUAGCCAUUAGGUCAGCCCAUUAAAAUUAUCCUCGCCCGCUCAUACCUCAUCAUAGUAGGGGUUUUGGAUUUCCUCUCAUGUGGUAGGGGGAUAUUUCUUAAAGCGGCUCAGCAGUUUCCUAGUUGCCCUCGAACUGUCCCUAUUCAGCCCGUUCUGGAAAGUGGCGAGCGCCAUACCUUCCGAUACAUUUGGCAGACACAUUCUUACCCUGUUAAACCUAGCCAAGAAGUCCCUGAGUCCUCUCUUGUGGUUUGCCUGACAGCAAAAAUGUCGUUGACCCGUGCUUCAGCUUUCUUUGUGCCUGCAUGGGCGGUGACGAACUUAUCUGCCAUUUCUUCGAAUGUUGAUAUUGCCCUUGCUGUUAGUUGAGAGUACCACGUUGGGGCCCUCUUGUCAACGUCUUGCUGAACUUCUUCAGCAGCACCGAUGGCACAUGUUCUUUUGAUAGGUCGUUGCCCUUACCGGGGAUCUUGUUUACCCUCUCCUGAUGUUCCUUCAUUUGGUCGCGGAGCGCUUUGUUUUCAUUUUCCAUUUCUUCCAUUUUCAUAAGGAUGGCUGUUAGCAUGCCAUUGUUGGAUUGCACAUCAAUGGGCCCGUUAUUUGCUCGUACAACCUCGGGUUCACCCAUGGCAGCAGUUAUGCCUACCGUUGGUGUACACCUAAGGUUACUUUGCGGUGACUUCUCUACCAAGCCACUUAGGGUACUUGUUAUCCAUUCUUCCAGUAGCUUCUUGACCACUGAGGGUGCUUCCUUAACAGAAGAUGUUGAAGCUCCCUUUUCAUGCAAGAUCGUUAGGUCUUCGGAUGGGGAAGGCAAGAUAUCUGCACCUGAGGUGGUGCUAGGGGUUGCAUUCAGGAUUCCUUCGUCAUUGGCCUCGUUGAGAGGACCCAAGAGAUUAGUUGUAACACCCAUUAUUAUUUUCAUUUUUGUGUUAUUUUUGGCUAUCUUUUGUUUUUGUGUGGUAUAGAGAAUGGUUGUCGAUUGUUCUCUAGGUGCAAACUAUGAUUUUGAUUCUCGAAAUCCCCACAGACGUCGCCAAAUUGUUUUGCUCAAAAGUUAUCAAUACAUUUUGUAAGCUUAAAAACAAUCUAAAAUAAAUGAGGGCAAAUCGUAAUCAAAUAUAACAGGACCUAAAGAUAAAAAGAACGAUGUUGUUUUAGUAGAUCUGAAAGAUAAAAAGAUAAUAUGAACUUGAGAGCAAGUAAUUGUUAGAGAUAGAGAUAGAGAGAGAGGAGAAGAAUUGUAUUAUUCGAGAAUAAUAGUCAUCGUCCUUUUUACAGUGUGAAGGUCUCCUUUACAUAAUAGGAGACCUUCCUCGAAAUAAUCAAAAAGGUACAAAAGAUCAGAAGUUAUUGAUAUACUUUGUAAGCUUAAAAACAAUCAAAAAUAAACGAGGGUAAAUCGUAGUCAAAUAUAAUAUUACCUAGAGAUGAAAAGAACGAUUUGUUAUUGUAGAUCUGAAAGAUAAAAAUGUGAUAUGAGCUUGAGAGAAAAGUAAUCGCUAGAGAUAGAAACUGAGAUCGAGAGAGAGAGAAGAAGAGUUGUAUUAUUCGAGAAUAAUAAUAAUGCCUUGUUACAGUGUGAAGGUCUCUUUUAUAUAAUAGGAGUCUUCCUCGAAAUAAUCAAAAAGGAACAAAAGUAAGAAGCAUCUCCUUAGCGAAGACAUCGUAUAUUAAAUGACGUCGCCUUUGUCCCCAUGUCCAAGUCGUACUCUUGCUUUUAGUCGAUGUAAUCUCGAAGGCGUACCAAUCAACAUAGAGACGUCUAAGAUCAAAUAUUACCCUAUUUAGCUCGAGCACGCAUCUGGUGGAAGUCUAGCUAAUCGGAUUGGUCAAAAUUCAAGGCAAGGGUUGCAAGAUCUUGAGUUAAAACAUUAAGCAAAAUCGAUUCUAUUGGGGCUUAGUCAUAUUCAUGGAAGAGGUUUCGUUCACCGUGACAGUAAACCUGAUAACAUUCUUCUUGUUGGUACGGAGAAAGUUGCCAAGAUUGCUGAUUUUGGGUCCGCGAAGAAGGUUAGAUGAGUAAAGAGUCAGAAAAGAAAGCACAGACUCAAAGGAACACCUAUGUACAUGGCGCCAGAAUUAGUUCUUGACAACAAAUACGGACCUGAAGCUGAAAUUUGGGCUUUCGAAUGCACUGACUUUGAAAUGGUUACGAGAAAGACGGUGUGGAAUUGCGGUGAAGCUAACAACGUUGUUUAUCUAUUGUGCAAAAUUUGAAUGGGAUCACCAGAUUUGCAGAACAAAAGAUUGUCAAAAGUGGCUGAAGAUUUUCUGAAAAAGUGUCUUGUUAAGGAGCCGAGAUCGCGAUGGAGUGUUGAUAUGCUAUUAAAGCAUCUAUUUCUUUCAUCUGAUGAUGAUGUUGUUGUUCGUGAGCGGACAAGGAAAAAGGAACUCAACCCACUUUUGUUUAUUCGGUAUCUAUGCCGAUGAAAGUGUUCCUUUGAUUGACGAUUUCUGCAAUAGUACAGAGUUGGAUAAGGUAAAACCAAUGACUGUUGAAUUGCAGAUCCAAAAAGAAGAAGAAAGCUACUAGAAGGAUGCUGAUUAUCAAUUUUGAUUAGAAAGAAUAUACAAAUGUAAAGAAUUAUACUGAUGUAUAGAACUACGUUCAGUCUUGAUCCUCAUAGGAGAUUUAAUUAGUUAGGGCUUGAUCCCCAUAGGAGAAUUAGAAAUUUUGGGCUCAGGUCCAUUAUAUGACGUGAAACUGGACCUGGGCCGCCCCUGUACUAAUUGUGACCCAGGCGACUUAUUCUAUAUGUUUAACAUUUCGCCAAGGCUAGAAUGUGAAUUAGUUACGUCUAAUUAAACCUGCUCUUAUGAAUAUAGAUGAACAACUUGUUAACUUCAAUAGUUUAAGCUAUUGAGCAAUUAAUCCUAAGGCCUUAUACAUCUUUGAAACAUGCUUGUAUGGUAAAAUUGAAAUACUGAAAUGUUAUCAUUACGUCAUUGGUUUUUUCCUAAAACAUACACGUGAAAGAAUUUGCAAACUAAACUACUGUAGGUCAGUACUCAUUUUUACAUAACUAAUUAUUCACAUGGUUUUAAUGAGGACUAUUAACUAACAUAUGCAACUUGAUGAACAAAAUACAACUAAAUAAAUUCAAGGCUUUAAAGCUUCAUUUUAUUCAUGCUUCGAACUUCAGUUACAUUGAACCAGUGUAUCGAUUGUGUGUACCUAGUACUUAGAAUCGCCAAAGAAGAAGAGGAGAGUCACUAGUGCAGCAGUACAAACCAGCAGGGUCAGCAACAAACAGAUUCAGCAAAACCAGUAGAACCAAUAGCAUGAAUUCCAGGGAAGAUUGCAAAUUAAACAAGAGGAAACCCAAGGGAUCAAUGUAAACACUACUUGGAUACCAACAGAAACUCAACAAACCCAAAUGAAUACCAGAAGCUAAAUACCAACAAAAACCUAAGAAAUUUCACACAAAAAAUAAACUCAAUGCCCAAAAUGCCCUCACAGUUAAAGCAAAAAUGAAGCAGACCUAAGAAAUAAGUAUUUCGGAUUGUGAACACUCAAAGAAAUAAAUUGAAUCCCUUGAAGUAAAGCUUAGCCUUUUAUAGCUCUAACUUACUGAAACUCUUAGAGUAAGAAUUCCAGCCUAUAUCACUCAAUUUCUCUUAACCGAUUCUUCUCCCCCCUCUAAGUGUCAAAUGACUCUUCUUUUAUAUCUAAAACAAGACUCUCUUCCCUUUUCCUUUAAUUAUUAUUACUACCCUCUUUUUAUUAUUACCCUUCCAAUUAUCCUCCCUUUCCUUUAAUUUUCAGUCCCCACCAAAUGUUCUCUUCUAUGUCUAUCUUUUAACCUUUUAUCAUUACUUAUAUUAUUUCUGAUUUUAAUUAAGCAAAAAGUAGUCAACACGGGUCCAACAAUCCCCCUUUUUCAAUGGUCAAAGAAGAUCACAUUAUUACCCCUCUUUACGUAAUUAUGUCUUGUCUCCCACUAUAUUAUUUUAAUAAUACUUUAAUCUAGUGGACAAAUCACUUAAAUUAAAUAGUUGUUCAAAUUUUAAAUUCCAAAAAUACCCCCCCCCCCAAAUUACAAAAAAUUACUACUCUACCCCUAUCAGCUAUAAUUAAUUCACCUAAAUCAAUUAACCAAAAUAUAGCAGCUACAACCAAUUCUUAAUCAAAUUCAAUCAACAAUUCAAAUUAAAUGAUAAACAACAAACAAAAAACUAAAAUUAUUUUGAACAACAUUCUUAACAAUAAAUAUACUUUCAAAUUCAACAACAAUAAUAAACAAGUAAAUUCAAAUCACUAAACUCGGAUUCAAAUUAAACUUAACAGAACAAUAAAACAGAUUCAAUUCACUAAACUUAAUCAUCAAUUGAACUUCAAAUUAAAUCUAACAAUAUUACAUCAAGAUAAAAGAUUCAAGUGAUUAAACUAAAACAUUUCUAUAUUAAAACUAAACAAUAACAAAUGAAUGAAAACAAAUUGAACUGGGAGUGAAUCUUAUCAACACUCUAAAUCAAAACUAUACAAAAAUGUAAGCUUACUGACAGUGAGACAAAUUCCAAGGAUUAGCACAUGACACAUUCGACAUCAAUCCAUUUGACGAGAAUUACAAACUACAAACAUGAAUGGACUAAUCGACGAAGUUAUUUAGACGACUCAACAAGUAUAACCCAUGACAAUCAAAAAUUAAACAAAUAACAAUAUUAAAAAUAGAACAAAAGCAGAGGAAAAACAAAAUACCUUACAAGAUUCGGGACUAAACGAGCUUAGGGUUCGAACCUCUACUGUUUUUCGUCAUUUUAUUUUUGUAUUUUU